rnacentral:rRNA from 1 species
UACAGAGGGUGCGAGCGUUAAUCGGAAUUACUGGGCGUAAAGCGUGCGUAGACGGUUUCGUAAGUCGGGUGUGAAAUCCCCGGGCUCAACCUGGGAAUUGCAUUCGAAACUGCGAGGCUAGGGUACGGAAGAGGGAAGCGGAAUUUCUGGUGUAGCGGUGAAAUGCGUAGAUAUCAGAAGGAACAUCAGUGGCGAAAGCGGCUUCCUGGACCAACACUGACGCUGAGGAGCGAAAGCCAGGGGAGCAAACGGG